UAUCAUUUUGGAGGGAAAAUUCUAACCUUUUGAUUGGUCAAUCUUUAGGCCAAAGGUCUUACUAUAUGUUUUCAUUGUUUCUGGUAGAUUUAUACUGCAGACAUAUUGGAAUGUAGUGAAAAUUACCUGCUUGUUAUAUUCAAUUCUGACAUUGAUGAUAUUUGUAUUAUAAUUCUUGGAUUCUCAAUAUUCUUAUAUUCAGGAUAUGGAUUGAUACCUUGUCAAGUUGUCAAAUGAUUAGUGCUCAGAUUUUUAUGUACACAGCACUGUGAUAUUCCAGCUAGUACACUGACCUUUGUACCAUAUACAUGGGUCUUAAAUAUUUGUGUAUUAAAAGAACAGAACCCUAAAAUAGUUUUCGUUGUAUUUGACCAGAAAAUACCCCGUUACAUUUGGCGCCCAACGUGAUUUACCAUUUGGAGCCUCACAGAAGC